rnacentral:rRNA from 1 species
UCCAGAGGUCCCAAGCGUUGUUCGGAUUCACUGGGCGUAAAGGGUGCGUAGGCGGUCGGGUAAGUCUGAUGUGAAAUCUCACAGCUUAACUGUGAAACUGCAUUGGAUACUAUCCGGCUCGAGGAAUGGAGGGGAGACUGGAAUACUUGGUGUAGCAGUGAAAUGCGUAGAUAUCAAGUGGAACACCAGUGGCGAAGGCGAGUCUCUGGACAUCUCCUGACGCUGAGGCACGAAAGCCAGGGGAGCAAACGGG